GCCUUACACAUGCAAGUCGAACGGUAACAGGUCUUCGGACGCUGACGAGUGGCGAACGGGUGAGUAAUACAUCGGAACGUGCCCAGUCGUGGGGGAUAACUACUCGAAAGAGUAGCUAAUACCGCAUACGAUCUGAGGAUGAAAGCGGGGGACCUUCGGGCCUCGCGCGAUUGGAGCGGCCGAUGGCAGAUUAGGUAGUUGGUGGGAUAAAAGCUUACCAAGCCGACGAUCUGUAGCUGGUCUGAGAGGACGACCUGCCACACUGGGACUGAGACACGGCCCAGACUCCUACGGGAGGCAGCAGUGGGGAAUUUUGGACAAUGGGCGAAAGCCUGAUCCAGCAAUGCCGCGUGCAGGAUGAAGGCCUUCGGGUUGUAAACUGCUUUUGUACGGAACGAAAAAGCUUCUCCUAAUACGAGAGGCCCAUGACGGUACCGUAAGAAUAAGCACCGGCUAACUACGUGCCAGCAGCCGCGGUAAUACGUAGGGUGCGAGCGUUAAUCGGAAUUACUGGGCGUAAAGCGUGCGCAGGCGGUUAUGUAAGACAGAUGUGAAAUCCCCGGGCACAACCUGGGAACUGCAUUUGUGACUGCAUGGCUAGAGUACGGUAGAGGGGGGA
rnacentral:rRNA from 1 species